AGAGUCGAGACAUCAACACAUGAAUCAGACAGGAUGAGAGGAAGAUAAGGCUAAAGACAGAGGCUCCAGCUACCUUGGUGACAAGGAAUGGAGGAGAAAAUGAACAGGAAAUUUUAAUAAGAUUAGGAGGGCUUGCUUUUCUGCCAAGUGAGCCGCUUUCACAGGAGCGAUAAAUUGGAAAUGUUAUCUGGCUUGAUACGCCAGUUUUUCUGAGAAAAUCACUCUGCCAGUGGUGAGAGAAUGGAAGAGCUGAAAACAUCUUCUUUUUUCAAAGUCAUAUGUCACAAACCUAGGAGACUCCAAAAAAUAAAUUAUGGAAUAUUAUGACCACUGCUGCCAAGGAUACGGUGAAAUAGGUACAUCUUGUAUGCCCAGUAAUGUUGAAAAUUAAUAUAAUCUUAUUUAAAAAGCAAUUUGGACAUGUUGAAAGAAAGCCUGAAGAUUACCACCAUGCUUCAUGAUUCUAUCCAGGUGUCCCACUAUGGGAGCCAAUUCC
rnacentral:lncRNA from 1 species